GACCAUUUAGCAUCUCAUUAAGUGGGCAGUCUGAAGUGUGCUCAGAGAAAACUUAAAUUCUGCUAUUUGGUUUGUAAUUGUGGCCCUAGGCUUGAUAGGAGGUAGUACCAGGGACUCAUCACUAAGUUCUUACCUAAAGAAGACAUCUGUGAGCCUUGAUAACUUCGUUGGCGUCAAGGUGAGAGAACAAGAAGGAAAUAACAGGAAAACUGGCAAGGAAAGCAGUGCGAGGCUGAGGGCAGUACAACCUUGGGAACAUUUUUGAGCUAGACAGGCACGCCAGGGACCUGAUCCAAGGGCCGUUGAAGUCAAAGAGAAUAUACAAAGAUUUCAAUGAGCUUGCAUCAGAAAUCCCACUUCAUGAUAUUUCUGCAUUUGUAAGAUGGCACCAUUUAUUGUUAUCAAGAAAUGUAUUUGAAGAGGAGGAUGUGGGUUAUGAAAUGACAAAUAGGCAAAUAGAAAAUUUUAACUAACGAUAUAGUAUCUAGGAGUAAUAAUUACAGCUAAACUCACUUAGAAAUUGUGUUUCUUUUCCUAUAUAAAAACAGUACAUUUUAAUUCAUGUUUUUUUUUUUCCCCAAUUGUGAAGAAAUGGCAGAGCAAGGAACCUCUUUCCUGGAAGAAAUUUUGAACAACAUUGCAUUUAGAAAAUUAUUAGUUUUUGUUUCUUUGUUAGGAGUGGGUCAAAAGUUAUUUUGUCUCAUCUGUAACAGCACAAUGUGUCUGGAAGUCGCAGCUGCAGUGAACGUUCAUGAGAAAGGCAGCAUGACCAUAAAAUCAGUCCCAUGGAGGAGAGUGCAAGGAGCUUUUAUAUGAAAUACACUUUCUAUUAGCUUAGGCAAAUUUAACUCAAAUUAAAAAAUGUUUUGUUUUCGUUUUGCUUUCCUACCCGGGGGAAAAUUGAAGAGUCAUAACUAAUAACAUUAAACAAUAAGAAACAGCAGUUUUGCAGAAGCCAGAAUUUGUAAUGAAUUAGUUGUUCCUACAAGCAGUAGAACUAAUGAGGUCUAGCUUUCUAUGAGCUUUAUAUCUGAUUGUGUAACACCGAUUUCCCCCUGUAUUCUUUAUAACCCCACACCCUCCCCAAAUCAAUAGCUGUAUCUCCAUUUAGACUACCUGAAUGCUCUCGGUUUCCCUACUCGAUUAGAAAAGCUACCUGUACAAAACCAAUUUGUAUGGAUAUUCAGGAUGACAGAUCGUCCUUUGAAAGUAUUCCUGAACUGCACACUCGAGGAGUGCUGACUGUAGGAGACCUAUGUCAAAUCAAAUAAAGUUGAAGUUGGACAGAUGAUCAAAACUUAUGUAGGAACAACAGAAGCAGAGGUUCUGUCAUAUAGUCUUCUUAAUCUCAUAAACUGUAUGAAGUUUGAGGAACCGAGGUGAAAAAUAGACUUUU
ensembl:lncRNA